CAGCAGCCGCGGGAAUACGUAGGGUGCGAGCGUUGUCCGGAAUUACUGGGCGUAAAGGGCUCGUAGGUGGUUUGUCGCGUCGUCUGUGAAAUUCUGGGGCUUAACUCCGGGCGUGCAGGCGAUACGGGCAUAACUUGAGUGCUGUAGGGGUAACUGGAAUUCCUGGUGUAGCGGUGAAAUGCGCAGAUAUCAGGAGGAACACCGAUGGCGAAGGCAGGUUACUGGGCAGUUACUGACGCUGAGGAGCGAAAGCAUGGGUAGCGAACAGGAUUAGAUACCCCUGUAGUCCCUGUCUCUUAUA
rnacentral:rRNA from 1 species